rnacentral:rRNA from 1 species
GAAUCUGCCCUGCACUCUGGGAUAAGCCUGGGAAACUGGGUCUAAUACCGGAUAGGACCAUGCUUUAGUGUGUGUGGUGGAAAGUUUUUCGGUGUAGGAUGAGCCCGCGGCCUAUCAGCUUGUUGGUGGGGUAAUGGCCUACCAAGGCGGCGACGGGUAGCCGGACUGAGAGGUUGGUCGGCCACAUUGGGACUGAGAUACGGCCCAG